rnacentral:rRNA from 1 species
CAGCCGCCGCGGGAAUACGUAGGGUGCAAGCGUUAAUCGGAAUUACUGGGCGUAAGCGUGCGCAGGCGGUUAUAUAAGUCAGAUGUGAAAUCCCCGGGCUCAACCUGGGAACUGCAUUUGAGACUGUAUGGCUAGGGUGUGUCAGAGGGGGGUAGAAUUCCACGUGUAGCAGUGAAAUGCGUAGAUAUGUGGAGGAAUACCGAUGGCGAAGGCAGCCCCCUGGGAUAACACUGACGCUCAUGCACGAAAGCGUGGGGAGCAAACAGGAUUAGAUACCCGCGUAGUCCCUGUCUCUUAUACA